rnacentral:rRNA from 1 species
UUUUAUGGAGAGUUUGAUCCUGGCUCAGAGUGAACGCUGGCGGCGUGCCUAAUACAUGCAAGUCGAACGAUGAAGCUUCUAGCUUGCUAGAAGUGGAUUAGUGGCGCACGGGUGAGUAACGCAUAGGUCAUGUGCCUCUUAGUUUGGGAUAGCCAUUGGAAACGAUGAUUAAUACCAGAUACUCCCUACGGGGGAAAGAUUUAUCGCUAAGAGAUCAGCCUAUGUCCUAUCAGCUUGUUGGUAAGGUAAUGGCUUACCAAGGCUAUGACGGGUAUCCGGCCUGAGAGGGUGAACGGACACACUGGAACUGAGACACGGUCCAGACUCCUACGGGAGGCAGCAGUAGGGAAUAUUGCUCAAUGGGGGAAACCCUGAAGCAGCAACGCCGCGUGGAGGAUGAAGGUUUUAGGAUUGUAAACUCCUUUUGUUAGAGAAGAUAAUGACGGUAUCUAACGAAUAAGCACCGGCUAACUCCGUGCCAGCAGCCGCGGUAAUACGGAGGGUGCAAGCGUUACUCGGAAUCACUGGGCGUAAAGAGCGCGUAGGCGGGAUAGUCAGUCAGGUGUGAAAUCCUAUGGCUUAACCAUAGAACUGCAUUUGAAACUACUAUUCUAGAGUGUGGGAGAGGUAGGUGGAAUUCUUGGUGUAGGGGUAAAAUCCGUAGAGAUCAAGAGGAAUACUCAUUGCGAAGGCGACCUGCUGGAACAUUACUGACGCUGAUUGCGCGAAAGCGUGGGGAGCAAACAGGAUUAGAUACCCUGGUAGUCCACGCCCUAAACGAUGGAUGCUAGUUGUUGGAGGGCUUAGUCUCUCCAGUAAUGCAGCUAACGCAUUAAGCAUCCCGCCUGGGGAGUACGGUCGCAAGAUUAAAACUCAAAGGAAUAGACGGGGACCCGCACAAGCGGUGGAGCAUGUGGUUUAAUUCGAAGAUACACGAAGAACCUUACCUAGGCUUGACAUUGAGAGAAUCCGCUAGAAAUAGUGGAGUGUCUAGCUUGCUAGACCUUGAAAACAGGUGCUGCACGGCUGUCGUCAGCUCGUGUCGUGAGAUGUUGGGUUAAGUCCCGCAACGAGCGCAACCCCCUUUCUUAGUUGCUAACAGGUCAUGCUGAGAACUCUAAGGAUACUGCCUCCGUAAGGAGGAGGAAGGUGGGGACGACGUCAAGUCAUCAUGGCCCUUACGCCUAGGGCUACACACGUGCUACAAUGGGGUGCACAAAGAGAAGCAAUACUGCGAAGUGGAGCCAAUCUUCAAAACGCCUCUCAGUUCGGAUUGUAGGCUGCAACUCGCCUGCAUGAAGCUGGAAUCGCUAGUAAUCGCAAAUCAGCCAUGUUGCGGUGAAUACGUUCCCGGGUCUUGUACUCACCGCCCGUCACACCAUGGGAGUUGUGUUUGCCUUAAGUCAGGAUGCUAAAUUAGCUACUGCCCACGGCACACACAGCGACUGGGGUGAAGUCGUAACAAGGUAACCGUAGGUGAACCUGCGGUUGGAUCACCUCCUUUCUAGA